UUCGCAGCUGAGUCAACUCAUUGACCCACUCACCAGGUCAUCCCAUUCACGUUAGUUUCUCCAUUUCCGUACUCUACUUGUUUUAGCUGUUAGCAUCCGGUUUUCAACUGAGUUAACUCAUUGGCUGUCUCAGUGAGUUGUUGUUCAAAGAAAUUUUCUUGGAAAAUUCGAGAUUUUGAAGUCGUGGUUAGGUACUGAAAAGAGGGAUGGGAAAAAUGGAGGGUAGCAAAGGUUCUGGUGGAAUUGGUGGGGAUAAUGGGAGCUCCAGCGAGGGUCGGCCUCCGAACCCUCUCGCACCGUGUCGACAGUGUUUUGGCCUCGAUAAUAGUCCCGUUUCCUGUAAGAAGACGCUUGUUCGGCACCAGUCCCUUGUGAAAACAAGGACAUCAGAUAUCUCUGUUGAACCUGAUCUUGGCGUAGAAAAUCACAACACUGACUUCAUUCCUAUUGUCCGUUCUGGAGCAUGGAAGGACAUUGGCUUUCGCACCAGCAUGGAAGAUGUAUAUAUAUGCAUUGACAAUUUUAUGAGUGACUAUGGACUCAAUAAUGUAGUCAGUGGGCCUAAUUCCUUCUAUGGGGUGUUUGAUGGACAUGGAGGAAAACAUGCGGCG
rnacentral:misc_RNA from 1 species